rnacentral:sRNA from 1 species
UACUCGGAGAACCCACCAUGCCCUGUUA